rnacentral:misc_RNA from 1 species
CCCCAGCCCCUGCCACAGCACGCAGGAUGUUUGCACCAGCUCCCUUGAAGAGGGAUUUUGAACCUUCAUUCUUGACAAUCUGUGAAAACGCAUCCAAAGAGCUCUUGUACUUCACAGCUUCUCCAGAGGUCAUCAUCAUCCUUCUUCGAACUGUAUCAAUAGGGUAAGAGGCCAAUCCAGCACCUAUUGUGAUUCCCCAUCCCAGCAAGAAACUAGCCAAGAAACUAUCCUGUAAAUUACCAACCAGAACAACAGGUUUAAGAGAAUCAUACAUUCCAAAGUAGAGCCCACG